rnacentral:rRNA from 1 species
UUAUCUCUGUAGAGUCUGCAUAUCAAUAAGCGGAGGAAAAGAAACUAACUAGGAUUCCCUCAGUAACGGCGAGUGAAGCGGGAAGAGCUCAAAUUUGAAAUCUUCAAGGUUUUACCUUGACGAAUUGUAGUUUAAAGAAGUGUUUUCUGUUGGAGUUUCGGUAAAAGUUCUUUGGAAUAGGACAUCAUAGAGGGUGAGAAUCCCGUAUUUGACCAUUACUUUCCAGCCUGUGUGAUACACUUUCAAAGAGUCGGAUUGUUUGGGAAUGCAGUCCAAAAUGGGUGGUAAAUUUCAUCUAAAGCUAAAUACUUGGCGAGAGACCGAUAGCGAACAAGUACCGUGAGGGAAAGAUGAAAAGAACUUUGAAAAGAGAGUUAAACAGUACGUGAAAUUGUCAAAAGGGAAGCGUUUGACACCAGUGUUGUUUUCUCGAAAAUCAAUUAAAAAUGGCGGGAUUUUGUGUUGUAUUGACUUUAUCAGCUUUCUGCACUUUUUUCUUGUCUUUUUUAAUGCACUUUUCGUUUAACAAGUCAACAUCAGUUUCUUUUGUUGUAAAAAGGUCAUUGGAAGGUGGCUUUCUUUUCGGAGAAAGUGUUUAUAGCCUUUGGCUUCUGCAAUCGGAGAGAUUGAGGUCUGCAGCGUAGAUCCUUCGGGGUUAGAUACAUUUGUGCUAAGUUAUAGCCUUUCAUAGACAACUUGUUGACUAUGAUCAGUCAUGUAGCUUACUCGCUUAUGCUAUUUUACCUACGCUUAGGAUGUUGAUCUCUCACAGUCGAGC